GACGAAGGGGGCUAGCGUUGUUCGGAAUUACUGGGCGUAAAGCGAGUGUAGGUGGUUGUCCAAGUUGGAUGUUAAAGCCUUGAGCUCAACUCAAGAAAUGCAUUCAGGACUGGGCGGCUAGAGGACCGGAGAGGAUAGUGGAAUUCCCAGUGUAGAGGUGAAAUUCGUAGAUAUUGGGAAGAACACCGGUGGCGAAGGCGGCGACCUGGUCCAUUACUGACGCUGAGGCGCGACAGCGUGGGGAGCAAACAGG
rnacentral:rRNA from 1 species